rnacentral:rRNA from 1 species
AACGUAGGUGGCAAGCGUUAUCCGGAAUUACUGGGCGUAAAGCGCGUGUAGGCGGUUUAAUAAGUCAGAUGUGAAAUCCCUCAGCUUAACUGAGGAACUGCAUCUGAUACUGUUAAACUUGAGUAUCGGAGGGGAUGGCGGAAUUCCUGGUGUAGAGGUGAAAUUCGUAGAUAUCAGGAGGAACACCUGUGGCGAAGGCGGCCAUCUGGAAGAUUACUGACGCUGAGACGCGAAAGCGUGGGGAGCAAACAGG